rnacentral:rRNA from 1 species
UACGUAGGGUGCAAGCGUUGUCCGGAAUUAUUGGGCGUAAAGAGCUCGUAGGCGGCUUGUUGCGUCGGUUGUGAAAGCCCGGGGCUUAACCCCGGGUCUGCAGUCGAUACGGGCAGGCUAGAGUGUGGUAGGGGAGAUCGGAAUUCCUGGUGUAGCGGUGAAAUGCGCAGAUAUCAGGAGGAACACCGGUGGCGAAGGCGGGUCUCUGGGCCGAUACUGACGCUGAGGAGCGAAAGCGUGGGGAGCGAACAGG